UCCGCGUUUUGCGCGGCAGUAUCCUAUGACACUUGUAACAUAGGACAGGGGUUGCGUUUGUUACCCCACUUAAGGGAGCGCCUCACGGCACAAACUGACGACAGCCAUGCAGCACCUGUCCAGCCGCCAUAAAGGAAACUCUCCUUUCGGAAAGCGUUCGUCUGGAUGUCAAGCCUUGGUAAGGUUCUUCGCUUAUCGUCGAAUUAAACCGCAUGAUCCACCGCUUGUGCGAGUCCCCGUCUAUUCCUUUGAGUUUUAAUCUUGCGAUCGUACUUCCCAGGCGGGACACUUAACGCGUUUGCUUCGUCACCUGAAGGGUCGACACUUCAGACAACUAGUGUCCAACGUUUACGGCUAGGACUAC
rnacentral:misc_RNA from 1 species